UUGUUUUCAUUAUUGUGCAUACAGUUUUUUCAUUUAUUAAAAUUACUUCUGUUUGUGAAGCGGAUAAUGCUAUGAAGCUCUUCAAUAAUGACUGCGUAUAUUUCAAUUGUUUUCCAAUGUAUUUCAAGCUGGGAUUUAAUUGCCAAUUUACUUUAAUUUAAAAUAAAAAAAAGCUUCAAAUUUGUAGUUCGUUGAUCUCAAUUGCUUAAAAAAUAAACUUAAAAUUAUAAGAUGAAAUUUUAUCUUUCAAUAGACUCGUAAAAUCUGAUAGCGUUCAGCUAACAAGUAAAUGCGGCUUUCAAGUCUGGUUUAAAACAAAAGCUGGAUUGAAAAUAGUAAUUCCAAUAGAGUUUUCGAUUAGAAUGUCAACGAAAAAUCGAUGAAAAGGAAAAACUCAUCAAAUCUACAGACAGUUCGAUAGCACUGGAUGUCUUUCUCUUCUGUUUUCGUAUAUGUCAGAGUUCUGUAAUAUUUAAAAAUGCAAACGGGCCACACACUCGUCAACUAACAACAAACAAACAAGCACAAAAAAUCAGAUACAUAUCGCCCCUAUACCCCUGCAAAGAGAUACUCAAAAACUAGAAAAAGAAAAGAAUACAAAAGAGAAGAGCAGAGCAGAGAAGAGACGAGAGUAGAAAAACACAUCGAGAACAGAACAGAGCUGAAAAACACGAGCCACGGCGACAGAGUUGCAGCCAAAAUAACAGCAACAAGGAUAACGAGGACAUGGACAUUGCCACGAUGAUGAUGUUGUUGCUGUAGUGGGAAAGAGCUAGCCAGAUGCGAUGGAGUUGGAUUUGGCCAGGACUCGGCUCAGUUCGCCGAAAAUGUUGCGUUACGCGAAAAAAGAGGCGAGCGAUGAACGCGGUAACCGGCGGCAAUUGGGUAUAGCGAGCGGAUGGUGGGCCAGCGGAUAGGCGUGGCAGAGCAGGACAUGAGGACGAUUUGGCACAUCAAUCAGACAUCUGCAACAUGUUAAAUGUUGCGUAAAACCACUCAGGCAUGCAGAGUCUAAGCCCUUAUUAUGAAGUGCCCAUUCAUAAGGCAUUUUCCCCAUACAGGACAUUUCUCAGACCAUUCAAAGUGACGACGCGUCUAAUCUAUUAAAAGCCACAUGAGGAAAAUUAACUAAAAAAAAACCUAGAUGAAAACAAUGGUUAACCAAAGAGUUGGGGAAAUACUCCGCACAACUUUCGUUUAUUAGUGAUGAAUGCAUUUGAACAUUUCUACGUAUCCACAUUUUCACAAAAAGAAUAAUGCGGACCGUAAACGCCUCGAUGCGAGCCGCAGAUAAAUUUCAUAAAUUAAAUAGACGGGUCCUUGGCCAUAUUACCGUAAAAUUGCAGACAAAACCCUUUGCAGCUGAAAUCUCAUUACAAUUUCAACGCGAUCAGACAAAGCGGCAGCUCAUGAGGAUGAUAAUGAUGAUGGAGUAGAAGAAGAAGAAGACGGCAAACGGAAACCCCACUGAUGAAAUGGAUUUUUAUCCAAAAACAGGACACAGCGAACAAGCAGAGACAGCGACUAACAAAACCAAGCAGAGCGAGAAAUAUAGAGAAACUGAGAGAUAGAGCGAGCGAAUGGAGAAUUAUGAAAAGAAUAAAAAAAAAAAACAGGAAAACCCGUAGCAAAAGCGUCAACAGCCCAAAAAAAAAGAGAAGAAAAAUGAAAUGGGAAGUAGAAAAAAAAUCACAACAUCAGCAAAAGUGGAUUCCCUUCCCCCACUUCGUCCCGCCUUGGAUGAGGGUGACGGUCCACGGCGCGUAAAAAAUGCAAAUCCCAAGUCAAAGCUUAGAGCCGUAGCCCUGCACGUGGCAACCAGGCAACAUACGAGCCAACUGCUUCCCCCUCAAUUCCCCCAAUCCCUUCCACACAACCAACCAUCAGCCAUACAUAUAUUAGUAAUGGUAAAAAAAGAAUAAAAGGAGAGAAAAAGAAAAGACAACAAAAAAAAUCUACGCAGGAAUGGAAUUUGAAAACGUAUGUCCCGGCAUAAUGCAACGAGCCCCGGCUAGGAACCAGUUGGCCUGGUCAGUUGUGUGUUGGCAGGAGGUAAAUUCAAUAAAAAACCACGCUGAAGCAGCACGAGAUAGACACGACUCUCUCUCUCUCUCUCUCUCUUUCCUGCUCGCUCACUCUUGCGUUAGAAAAAAUGCUGCAAUUGGGGUUUGAGUUGAAUUGAGUGAGUGUGUGUUUGCAUGCGUGAAUGUGUGUGUGUGUGUGUGUGUGUGGGCAACAGCGGAUCAAUGACGAAAGUGCGUUGAAGUGUAGUGCAAACAAUGGCAAAAAGGCAUAAGCAAAUGGAAAUACAUAUGUGGAACAUAUUUGAAAUCUGUAUAGCACUACUCAUACUCCUAUUCCUAUUGCUAUUCCUAUUCCUAUUCCGACUCCGACUGCGACUCUUUCGUUUCAUCUGCAUAUCUGCUGUCGUUUCUACUGCCAUUCCAAUUUAUUCGCAUGAAUGCAUUCAACAUUCUGCAGAAUUCUAAAAAACUUUAGAGCUGCUGUUUUUCAGAAUUUUUCUACAUACACGUUUUCAAUUUC